rnacentral:rRNA from 1 species
AUUGAACGCUGGCGGCAGGCUUAACACAUGCAAGUCGAGCGGGGUGAUGGUGCUUGCACUAUCACUUAGCGGCGGACGGGUGAGUAAUGCUUAGGAAUCUGCCUAUUAGUGGGGGACAACAUCUCGAAAGGGAUGCUAAUACCGCAUACGUCCUACGGGAGAAAGCAGGGGAUCACUUGUGACCUUGCGCUAAUGGAUGAGCCUAAGUCGGAUUAGCUAGUUGGUGGGGUAAAGGCCUACCAAGGCGACGAUCUGUAGCGGGUCUGAGAGGAUGAUCCGCCACACUGGGACUGAGACACGGCCCAGACUCCUACGGGAGGCAGCAGUGGGGAAUAUUGGACAAUGGGGGGAACCCUGAUCCAGCCAUGCCGCGUGUGAAGAAGGCCUUAUGGUUGUAAAGCACUUUAAGCGAGGAGGAGGCUCUUUUGGUUAAUACCCAAGAUGAGUGGACGUUACUCGCAGAAUAAGCACCGGCUAACUCUGUGCCAGCAGCCGCCGUAA